UUUCCGUAGGUGAACCUGCGGAAGGAUCAUUACAGAGUUGAUGCCCGAAAGGGUAGACGUCCCACCCUUGUGUAUUAUUACUUUGUUGCUUUAACGAGCUGCCUUUAGGCCUCUGGGUUUCAAGCUUGAGCACCCUCGCCAGAGGAUACCAAAACUCUUUUAAUUAAUGUUGUCUGAGUACUAUAUAAUAGUUAAAACUUUCAACAACGGAUCUCUUGGAUCUG
rnacentral:misc_RNA from 1 species